rfam:Nematostella vectensis strain CH2 x CH6 NEMVEscaffold_21_Cont3989, whole genome shotgun sequence.
GCCUCGUUAGCUCAGUGGCAGAGCACUGGUCUUGUAAACCAGGGGUCGGGAGUUCGAACCUCCCACGGGGCU